rnacentral:rRNA from 1 species
UACGUAGGUGGCAAGCGUUGUCCGGAUUUACUGGGCGUAAAGAGCGCGCAGGCGGUCGUUCAAGUCGCGUGUGAAAGCCCCCCGGCUCAACUGGGGAGGGUCAUUCGAUACUGAUCGACUCGAAGGCAGGAGAGGGUAGUGGAAUUCCCGGUGUAGUGGUGAAAUGCGUAGAUAUCUGGAGGAACACCGGUGGCGAAGGCGGCAUCCUGGACCAACACUGACGCUGAGGAGCGAAAGCCAGGGGAGCAAACGGG